rnacentral:lncRNA from 1 species
AUGGAAAAGAAAUGCAAAAAAGCAAAAUGGCUGUCUGGGGAGGCCUUACAAAUAGCUGUGAAAAGAAGAGAGGCAAAAAGCAAAGGAGAAAAGGAAAGAUUUAAGCAUCUGAAUGCAGAGUUCCAGAGAAUAGCAAGAAGAGAGAAGAAAGCCUUCUUCAGCGAUCAAUGCAAAGAAAUAGAGGAAAACAACAGAAUGGGAAAGACUAGAGAUCUCGUCAAGAAAAUUAGAGAUACCAAGGGAAUAUUUCAUGCAAAGAUGGGCUUGAUAAAGGACAGAAAUGGUCUGGACCUAACAGAAGCAGAAGAUAUUAAGAAGAGGUGGCAAGAAUACACGGAAGAACUGUACAAAAAAGAUCUUCACGACCCAGAUAAUCAUGAUGAUGUGAUCACUAAUCUAGAGCCAGACAUCUUAGAAUGUGAAGUCAAGUGGGCCUUAGAAAGCAUCACUACGAACAAAGCUAGUGGAGGUGAUGGAAUUCCAGUCGAACUCUUUCAAAUCCUGAAAGAUGAUGCUGUGAAAGUGCUGCACUCAAUAUGCCAGCAAGUUUGGAAAACUCAGCAGUGGCCACAGGACUGGAAAAAAUCAGUUUUCAUUCCAAUCCCAAAGAAAGGCAAUGCAAAAGAACGCUCAAACUACCGCACAAUUGCACGCAUCUCACAUGCUAGUAAAGUAAUGCUCAAAAUUCUCCAAGCCAGACUUCAGCAAUACGUGAACCGUGAACUCCCUGAUGUUCAAGCUGGUUUUAGAAAAGGCAGAGGAACCAGAGAUCAAAUUGCCAACAUCCGCUGGAUCAUGGAAAAAGCAAGAGAGUUCCAGAAAAACAUCUAUUUCUGCUUUAUUGACUAUGCCAAAGCCUUUGACUGUGUGGAUCACAAUAAACUGUGGAAAAUUCUGAAAGAGAUGGGCAUACCAGACCACCUAACCUGCCGCUUGAGGAAUCUGUAUGCAGGUCAGGAAGCAACAGUUAGAACUGGACAUGGAACAACAGACUGGUUCCAAAUAGAAAGAGGAGUACGUCAAGGCUGUAUAUUGUCACCCUGCAUAUUUAACUUAUAUGCAGAGUACAUCAUGAGAAACGCUGGACUGGAAGAAACACAAGCUGGAAUCAAGAUUGCCAGGAGAAAUAUCAAUCACCUCAGAUAUGCAGAUGACACCACCCUUAUGGCAGAAAGUGAAGAGGAGCUAAAAAACCUCUUGAUGAAAGUGAAAGAGGAGAGCGAAAAAGUUGGCUUAAAGCUCAACAUUCGGAAAAUGAAGAUCAUGGCAUCUGGUCCCAUCACUUCAUGGGAAAUAGAUGGGGAAACAGUAGAAACAGUGUCAGACUUUAUUUUUCUGGGCUCCAAAAUCACUGCAGAUUGUGACUGCAGCCAUGAAAUUAAAAGAUGCUUACUCCUUGGAAGAAAAGUUAUGACCAACCUAGACAGCAUGUUAAAAAGCAGAGACAUUACUUUGCCGACUAAGGUCUGUCUAGUCAAGGCUAUGGUUUUUCCUGUGGUCAUGUAUGGAUGUGAGAGUUGGACUGUGAAGAAGGCUGAGCACUGA